rnacentral:rRNA from 1 species
AGUGGCGGACGGGUGAGUAAUACAUGGGUACCUGCCCCGAAGUGAGGAAUACCACCGAGAAAUCGGUGACAAUACCGCAUACGUUUCGUAAGAAACAAAGCCGCAAGGCGCUUUGGGAUGGGCCUCUGGCCGAUUAGCUGGCUGGUGGGGUAAUGGCCUACCAGGGCGACGAUCGGUAGCUGGUCUGAGAGGACGAUCAGCCACACUGGGAUUGAGAACGGCCCAG